CACUACCUGACAUAUAUACACAAGGAAUUGCUGGUGAUGAGUCUGCGAUAAGUGACCAGAUAAGUGCAAGCUUCAGCAUGGUUACCGACUACGCAUACGACUGGCAUAGUGAUGAAAGUUUGGUCAUGGACCACAGUGACACCCUUACUGCUGGACUUGAUCUGUCGGCAACUGAUAGUGUGACACCACACGACGAUGGUGAUGGUGAUGUUGUGCAGAAAUUAGUAGCUCGUGAGCCGGCAAUUAUUAAAACGAGUUGCAGUCCACUUCCAAACCCUUGUCCUGUCCCAGAAGUGUUCAGUCUAGUAAGAGGGUAAUGCUGGCCCUGAGUAGCAACAAGCUUCAGGGGAAUACGAAACUGUCAUUGAUUCGGGAGGCGAGUCAGUUCUACUACGGUUUAUGCCCCAGACCAACUGCAGCAGAAUAUGACAUCAUGGCCAAGACUCUAAGUGGCAAGUACCCGAAUCUCCGCAGCAAAAUACUCGUAAACGGAUGUGACAAUUACUCUCUUUGACAGCAGUUGAGUAUGGCAUAUCGGAACAAACGAAGGACUUCGACACCAAUUCCGAAGAGUAGCAGGUCAACGUUAGUUGUAUUAUCUGCAGCAAAACUAGCAGCUAAGGUGGUCAACGGUGAUCCUCCAGUUGUUAGAGAUGAAGCUGCCUACGCCAGAUUUUCGAUUCAGUCCUGAGCACCACAAACUAGCAAUGGCUCAAGAAUUUGUUCUGACCAAAGAAUGUGAAUGUUUUAUAAACAGUUCGACAGUAACCAUCGACACAAGCACAAAUUCUGAUAAUACUAUCAUUUCAGACUCAAGUGAUUCAUCCGAGUCAACUAUCUGGAAGAAAAUUGAUCAUUUUCAUCUCU